UACGAAGGGUGCAAGCGUUGCUCGGAAUCAUUGGGCGUAAAGCGCACGUAGGCGGCCUGGUAAGUCGGAUGUGAAAUCCCACGGCUCAACCGUGGAAGUGCAUCCGAAACUGCUUGGCUCGAGUAUGGAAGAGGGUCGCAGAAUUCCCGGUGUAGAGGUGAAAUUCGUAGAUAUCGGGAGGAAUACCAGUGGCGAAGGCGGCGACCUGGGCCAAUACUGACGCUGAGGUGCGAAAGCGUGGGGAGCAAACAGG
rnacentral:rRNA from 1 species